GCAAGAUUAAAACUCAAAGGAAUAGACGGGGACCCGCACAAGCGGUGGAGCAUGUGGUUUAAUUCGACGAUACGCGAAGAACCUUACCUGGCCUUGACGUAGAAAGAACUUACUAGAGAUAGUUUGGUGCUAGCUUGCUAGAACUUUCAUACAGGUGCUGCACGGCUGUCGUCAGCUCGUGUCGUGAGAUGUUGGGUUAAGCCCCGCAACGAGCGCAACCCUCGUGUUUAGUUACUAACAGUUCGGCUGAGGACUCUAGACAGACUGCCUGGGUAACCAGGAGGAAGGUGAGGACGACGUCAAGUCAUCAUGGCCCUUACGGCCAGGGCUACACACGUGCUACAAUGGGGUAUACAAAGAGCCGCAAUACCGCGAGGUGGAGCAAAUCUCAUAAAAUAUCUCCCAGUUCGGAUUGAAGUCUGCAACUCGACUUCAUGAAGUUGGAAUCGCUAGUAAUCGGAUAUCAGCCAUGGUCCGGUGAAUACGUUCCCGGGCCUUGUACUCACCGCCC
rnacentral:rRNA from 1 species